rnacentral:rRNA from 1 species
AACGGCCGUACCAUGCUGAAUAUACCGGUUCUCGUUAGAUCACCGAAGUCAAGCAUCAUUGGGCGCGGUCAGUACUUGGGUGGGUGACCACCUGGGAACAACA